ACCAGUAAAAGUAUGCAGUUGGAACGUUUGCCUACGUUUGCCGCUAGGGGCGCUGUUCCAGCUGCAUACAAAUUAGCGUUA
rnacentral:pre_miRNA from 1 species